GCAGGUAGCCUAGUGGUUAGAGGCAGGUAGCCUAGUAGUUAGAGGCAGGUAGCCUAGUGGUUAGAGGCAGGUAGCCUAGUGGUUAGAGGCAGGUAGCCUAGUGGUUAGAGGCAGGUAGCCUAGUGGUUAGAGGCAGGUAGCCUAGUAGUUAGAGGCAGGUAGCCUAGUGGUUAGAGGCAGGUAGCCUAGUGGUUAGAGGCAGGUAGCCUAGUGGUUAGAGGCAGGUAGCCUAGUGGUUAGAGGCAGGUAGCCUAGUGGUUAGAGGCAGGUAGCCUAGUGGUUAGAGGCAGGUAGCCUAGUAGUUAGAGGCAGGUAGCCUAGUAGUUAGAGGCAGGUAGCCUAGUGGUUAGAGGCAGGUAGCCUAGUGGUUAGAGGCAGGUAGCCUAGUGGUUAGAGGCAGGUAGCCUAGUGGUUAGAGGCAGGUAGCCUAGUAGUUAGAGGCAGGUAGCCUAGUAGUUAGAGGCAGGUAGCCUAGUGGUUAGAGGCAGGUAGCCUAGUAGUUAGAGGCAGGUAGCCUAGUGGUUAGAGGCAGGUAGCCUAGUGGUUAGAGGCAGGUAGCCUAGUGGUUAGAGGCAGGUAGCCUAGUGGUUAGAGGCAGGUAGCCUAGUAGUUAGAGGCAGGUAGC